UUAAUCAAUAGCUGCUCCUCUCGCAAUCAAAACAGGAUUAUGUUUCUUAUAUUGCUCUUCCUUAGGAAUAGCAGUGAUCCAUGAAUUGAUGGGGGCUGUACCCAAAGGGGAGGUGCUGUCCCACGUGUCCAGGGAUAGCCAUGAGGGUUCAUUCCAGCUUUUAUUUCCAAUUCUGUCUCAGAUCUAUGACCUGACCACAGAACAUGUGAUGCCCUUUUUAUACUCCUGAAAAAAUAGAUCCCAGUUGUCUCACAGCUUUCUCCAGUUGUUAAAGAUCUUCAUGACUGAACAAGGCAGGAAGAAGUUUGUUUCUUCUGAUAAUGGCGCAAUAAAUUCUCUUUCUCUGAAAGA